rnacentral:misc_RNA from 1 species
UCUCCGUUGGUGAACCAGCGGAGGGAUCAUUACCGAGUCCCACAACUCCAAACCCCUCCGAACCGUACCCCAGUUUGUCCUCGUUGCCUCCUGGCGGCGGGCCCCCGGCGCCACCGCCGGGGCCCCCGCCAGCGGCGGCGAGACCCCUGUACCUUUUUUUCUCAACAAGCCCGUCUGGGCUAACAAAAAAAUGAAUCAAGACUUUCAACAACGGAUCUCUUGGUUCUG